GAUGAACGCUGACAGAAUGCUUAACACAUGCAAGUCAACUUGAACUUCGGUUUGGGUGGCGGACGGGUGAGUAACGCGUAAAGAACUUGCCUCACAGCUAGGGACAACAUUUGGAAACGAAUGCUAAUACCUGAUAUUAUGAUUAUAUGGCAUCGUAUAAUUAUGAAAGCUAUAUGCGCUGUGAGAGAGCUUUGCGUCCCAUUAGCUAGUUGGAGAGGUAACAGCUCACCAAGGCGAUGAUGGGUAGCCGGCCUGAGAGGGUGAUCGGCCACAAGGGGACUGAGACACGGCCCUUACUCCUACGGGAAGCAGCAGUGGAGAAUAUUGGACAAUGGACCGAGAGUCUGAUCCAGCAAUUCUGUGUGCACGAUGAAGUUUUUCGGAAUGUAAAGUGCUUUCAGUUGGGAAGAAAAAAAUGACGGUACCAACAGAAGAAGUGACGGCUAAAUACGUG
rnacentral:rRNA from 1 species